rnacentral:rRNA from 1 species
GUUAAGCGACUAAGCGUACACGGUGGAUGCCCUGGCAGUCAGAGGCGAUGAAGGACGUGCUAAUCUGCGAUAAGCGUCGGUAAGGUGAUAUGAACCGUUAUAACCGGCGAUUUCCGAAUGGGGAAACCCAGUGUGAUUCGUCACACUAUCAUUACGUGAAUACAUAGCGUAAUGAAGCGAACCGGGGGAACUGAAACAUCUAAGUACCCCGAGGAAAAGAAAUCAACCGAGAUUCCCCCAGUAGCGGCGAGCGAACGGGGAGCAGCCCAGAGUCUGAAUCAGCUUGUGUGUUAGUGGAACGGUCUGGAAAGUCCGACGGUACAGGGUGAUAGUCCCGUACACCAAAAUGCACAGGUUGUGAACUCGAAGAGUAGGGCGGGACACGUGGUAUCCUGUCUGAAUAUGGGGGGACCAUCCUCCAAGGCUAAAUACUCCUGACUGACCGAUAGUGAACCAGUACCGUGAGGGAAAGGCGAAAAGAACCCCGGCGAGGGGAGUGAAAAAGAACCUGAAACCGUGUACGUACAAGCAGUGGGAGCCUCUUUAUGGGGUGACUGCGUACCUUUUGUAUAAUGGGUCAGCGACUUAUAUUCUGUAGCAAGGUUAACCGUAUAGGGGAGCCGAAGGGAAACCGAGUCUUAACUGGGCGUUAAGUUGCAGGGUAUAGACCCGAAACCCGGUGAUCUAGCCAUGGGCAGGUUGAAGGUUGGGUAACACUAACUGGAGGACCGAACCGACUAAUGUUGAAAAAUUAGCGGAUGACUUGUGGCUGGGGGUGAAAGGCCAAUCAAACCGGGAGAUAGCUGGUUCUCCCCGAAAGCUAUUUAGGUAGCGCCUCGUGAACUCAUCUUCGGGGGUAGAGCACUGUUUCGGCUAGGGGGUCAUCCCGACUUACCAACCCGAUGCAAACUGCGAAUACCGAAGAAUGUUAUCACGGGAGACACACGGCGGGUGCUAACGUCCGUCGUGAAGAGGGAAACAACCCAGACCGCCAGCUAAGGUCCCAAAGUCAUGGUUAAGUGGGAAACGAUGUGGGAAGGCACAGACAGCCAGGAUGUUGGCUUAGAAGCAGCCAUCAUUUAAAGAAAGCGUAAUAGCUCACUGGUCGAGUCGGCCUGCGCGGAAGAUGUAACGGGGCUAAACCAUGCACCGAAGCUGCGGCAGCGACACUAUGUGUUGUUGGGUAGGGGAGCGUUCUGUAAGCCGUUGAAGGUGUAUCGUGAGGUAUGCUGGAGGUAUCAGAAGUGCGAAUGCUGACAUAAGUAACGAUAAUGCGGGUGAAAAACCCGCACGCCGGAAGACCAAGGGUUCCUGUCCAACGUUAAUCGGGGCAGGGUGAGUCGACCCCUAAGGCGAGGCCGAAAGGCGUAGUCGAUGGGAAACAGGUUAAUAUUCCUGUACUUGGUGUUACUGCGAAGGGGGGACGGAGAAGGCUAUGUUAGCCGGGCGACGGUUGUCCCGGUUUAAGCAUGUAGGCGGAGGUUCCAGGUAAAUCCGGUACCUUUUUAACGCUGAGGUGUGAUGACGAGGCACUACGGUGCUGAAGUAACAAAUGCCCUGCUUCCAGGAAAAGCCUCUAAGCAUCAGGUAACAU